UACAGAGGGUGCAAGCGUUGUUCGGAAUUAUUGGGCGUAAAGGGCGCGUAGGCGGUGCGGUAAGUCUGUAGUGAAAUCUCUGGGCUCAACUCAGAGUCUGCUGCAGAAACUGCCGUGCUUGAGUGUGGGAGAGGUGAGUGGAAUUCCCGGUGUAGCGGUGAAAUGCGUAGAUAGCGGAGGAACACCUGUGGCGAAAGCGGCUCACUGGACCACAACUGACGCUGAGGCGCGAAAGCUAGGGGAGCAAACAGG
rnacentral:rRNA from 1 species